rnacentral:rRNA from 1 species
GACGAACGCUGGCGGCGUGCUUAACACAUGCAAGUCGAACGGAAAGGCCCUGCUUUUGUGGGGUGCUCGAGUGGCGAACGGGUGAGUAACACGUGAGUAACCCGCCCUUGACUUUGGAAUAACUUCAGGAAACUGGGGCUAAUACCGGAUAGGAGCUCCUGCUGCAUGGUGGGGGUUGGAAAGUUUCGGCGGUUGGGGAUGGACUCGCGGCUUAUCAGCUUGUUGGUGGGGUAGUGGCUUACCAAGGCUUUGACGGGUAGCCGGCCUGAGAGGGUGACCGGCCACAUUGGGACUGAGAUACGGCCCAGACUCCUACGGGAGGCAGCAGUGGGGAAUAUUGCACAAUGGGCGGAAGCCUGAUGCAGCAACGCCGCGUGCGGGAUGACGGCCUUCGGGUUGUAAACCGCUUUCGCCUGUGACGAAGCGUGAGUGACGGUAAUGGGUAAAGAAGCACCGGCUAACUACGUGCCAGCAGCCGCGGUGAUACGUAGGGUGCGAGCGUUGUCCGGAUUUAUUGGGCGUAAAGGGCUCGUAGGUGGUUGAUCGCGUCGGAAGUGUAAUCUUGGGGCUUAACCCUGAGCGUGCUUUCGAUACGGGUUGACUUGAGGAAGGUAGGGGAGAAUGGAAUUCCUGGUGGAGCGGUGGAAUGCGCAGAUAUCAGGAGGAACACCAGUGGCGAAGGCGGUUCUCUGGGCCUUUCCUGACGCUGAGGAGCGAAAGCGUGGGGAGCGAACAGGCUUAGAUACCCUGGUAGUCCACGCUGUAAACGGUGGGUACUAGGUGUGGGGUCCAUUCCACGGGUUCCGUGCCGUAGCUAACGCUUUAAGUACCCCGCCUGGGGAGUACGGCCGCAAGGCUAAAACUCAAAGGAAUUGACGGGGCCCCGCACAAGCGGCGGAGCAUGCGGAUUAAUUCGAUGCAACGCGUAGAACCUUACCUGGGUUUGACAUGGAUCGGGAGCGCUCAGAGAUGGGUGUGCCUCUUUUGGGGUCGGUUCACAGGUGGUGCAUGGCUGUCGUCAGCUCGUGUCGUGAGAUGUUGGGUUAAGUCCCGCAACGAGCGCAACCCUUGUUCACUGUUGCCAGCACGUUAUGGUGGGGACUCAGUGGAGACCGCCGGGGUCAACUCGGAGGAAGGUGGGGAUGACGUCAAGUCAUCAUGCCCCUUAUGUCCAGGGCUUCACGCAUGCUACAAUGGCUGGUACAGAGAGUGGCGAGCCUGUGAGGGUGAGCGAAUCUCGGAAAGCCGGUCUCAGUUCGGAUUGGGGUCUGCAACUCGACCUCAUGAAGUCGGAGUCGCUAGUAAUCGCAGAUCAGCAACGCUGCGGUGAAUACGUUCCCGGGGCU